rnacentral:rRNA from 1 species
CGAGUCAUAUCUCUCCCUUAACGAGGCUGUCCAUACAUACUGUUCAGCCGGUGCGGAUGUGAGUUUGGCCCCUUGUUCUUUGGUACGGGGGGUCUAAGAGCUGCAUGGGCUUUUGAUGGUCCUAAAUACGGCAAGAGGUGGACGAACUAUGCUACACCAAAAUUGUUGUG